rnacentral:lncRNA from 1 species
CUAGCACCAUCUUGUCUUGCCCACGAGAGAAGCAAACUCAAGAUCCACAUCGCCUAAUCGCCUUGCGUCAGUGCUUCUGCUUGCUGUCUGCCGCGGCUGCACGGAUGAGAGAAGUUGCAUCCUUCUGACUCUGUUGCUCGCCUUCAGACACCCGUCCGUCGCCUCUAACACCGGUGCGUUGUUUGGUCUUCCCUGUGAGUUCGCAGCCACCGCUAGCUGCGAGGAGGCGCACAAAAAAGACGUCGAGGCUGCCGCUGUCCCACAUGUAUUUGUAUAUUUUCUUCAUGGUCGAGAUUUGCAGGUAAUGACCGAUUCUCUUAAGCGUUGGCUAAAAUUGUGUUUUGUCAUUGUAAUUUCUGAAGAAAAUAGUAUCCGUAAAUGUAAAUCCAAGAUUCUCAUUCAAACCUAAUAGUACCAAGCAAAAUAGUUAACAACCUAAUGUUUAGAAUACUAGGGAAACAUAGUAUAGAAAUCUGGACUAAAUGGCUGAAUUGGGCUAUGUUGCUGCAGUGCUUGGUUUUGCUAGAACAUUGACAUC